rnacentral:rRNA from 1 species
GGUCAAUCUAUAGGUUGACCUCGCCUUAAGCUUAUGGUAUAGAUAAAAGUAACGGCCUCUAAGUUUAUUAACCUAAAGGACUAAACGAUGAGAAAACCUUGUUUAUAAAGUAAUAACCUUUAAAUUUUGAAACAUUUUGGGCUCGCGCGCCCUCUUUAGGAGAGCGCGCCCCCCAAUAUCUGAUGUAAAUAAUAAGUGAUGAAGA